AAAUUCAUGUAUAUAUAACGAUUUUUAAAAAUAUCGUACAAUAGGAAAUAGAAAGAAAGAGAAGAAAAGAGGUUGAAAAAAAUGAAAGAUCGCGUUAUACGCAAUCUUGGGCCUUAAUGGAUAAGACGUCUCCGUGUUAUCUAGGUUGUAACCCCUUAUCUACUGCACACGGUUCGCUCUACGGGGCGAUCGACUCUCGAAACACGGACAAACCGUGGUCGAUGCCGCGACUCGACUGUUCGAAUGGCCAGUCCGACAUGAACGUAAAGGGAUGGUGAGCGAAGAAACAACGGACCGUUUGUGCAUUUUCUGGUGACGUUCACCAACCAACCGGUCGACGCGUCGUCUCGAAGGGCGUCACGUCACCUUUUAUUCCCGUCUAUUUGCCCUUUGAUAAAGUUUGAAUCUUUAGAGUUUGAUCGUAAAAAUAAAAUAAAAAGAAAAAAAAAGAAAAAGGAAAGAAAAGGAAAAAC
rnacentral:misc_RNA from 1 species